UACGGAGGAUGCGAGCGUUAUCCGGAUUUAUUGGGUUUAAAGGGAGCGUAGACGGCUGUGCAAGUCUGAAGUGAAAGCCCGUGGCUCAACCGCGGAACUGCUUUGGAAACUGUAUAGCUUGAGUACUGGAGAGGCAGGCGGAAUUCCUAGUGUAGCGGUGAAAUGCUUAGAUAUCACGAAGAACUCCGAUUGCGAAGGCAGCUCACUGGACUGCAACUGACACUGAGGCUCGAAAGUGUGGGUAUCAAACAGG
rnacentral:rRNA from 1 species